AGUGAACGCUGGCGGUAGGCCUAACACAUGCCAGUCGAACGGCAGCACAGUAAGAGCUUGCUCUUACGGGUGGCGAGUGGCGGACGGGUGAGGAAUACAUCGGAAUCUACUUUUUCGUGGGGGAUAACGUAGGGAAACUUACGCUAAUACCGCAUACGACCUACGGGUGAAAGCAGGGGAUCUUCGGACCUUGCGCGAUUGAAUGAGCCGAUGUCGGAUUAGCUAGUUGGCGGGGUAAAGGCCCACCAAGGCGACGACCCGUAGCUGGUCUGAGAGGAUGAUCAGCCACACUGGAACUGAGACACGGUCCAGACGCCUACGGGAGGCAGCAGUGGGGAAUAUUGGACAAUGGGCGCAAGCCUGAUCCAGCCAUACCGCGUGGGUGAAGAAGGCCUUCGGGUUGUAAAGCCCUUUUGUUGGGAAAGAAAAGCAGCAGGUUAAUACCCCGCUGUUCUGACGGUACCCAAAGAAUAAGCACCGGCUAACUUCGUG
rnacentral:rRNA from 1 species